ensembl:snRNA U6 U6 spliceosomal RNA
GUGUUUCCUUCAGCAGCACACAUACUAAAAAUUGGAAGGAUACAGAGAUUAGCGUGACCUCUGGGCAAAAACGACACACAAAUUGUAAAGCAUCCCAUGUUUUA